CAACUGUCAGGAAAAAUGUUUUUGUUCUCGUCUUUGUUUUUCAGAAGGGAAGCCAGGGGACCCCUCGCACACGGCUGGUGGGAGCACACAGCGGCACAGCCACUUGGGAAGAUAGCUUGGCUUUUCCUCACAAAACUAAAGACACUCCUCCCUUUGCUCCAGCCAUCUCUCCCUUGGAAUUUAGCAGAGGCUGAAAACUUACAUUAUCACCAAGAACCAUGCAUGGGUGUUUACAGCAGCUCCACACACAACAGUCCAAACUUAGAGGCUGGCGAUGCGGCGGGGGGACCCUGAGUUACCAGCAUGGCACACUCCUGUGAAAUGCCCGGGCCCUGGUAGGCAGCUGAGAGUCCUCAGAGACAGUGACCCAUCUGAUCCGCGAGAGGGAGCGGAGAGCAAGUCACACACUGCCAUCUUCCCAUGAUUCUAGUGUUAGAGCAAGCUGUGAGUCCAGCCCUUACCCAGCUGCCAGGGAGGGAUAGCGAAGGACUUAUAGAUGGGCCUUUAAACCCCGCUGUCACUCAGCUGCAUUCCAUUAUCUCUAAGUUGGCACUGUCCCCAGCAAUGGCUGCUGGCCGCAUGUUGCUCUUGAACAUUUGCAAUUGGUCCCAGUUGAGAUGCAUGUGAAUAUAAAUGGAACAGAUUUUGAAGAUUCAGUAUGAAAACAGAUCGUAGAAUGUUGUUGUUUAUUUUAAGAUAUUGCUACGUGUUGAAUGGUAGUAUACUGUAUUUCUAUUGAACUGUGUCCUAAAAGCAGAGAGACACUCAAACCAACCUGAACACUGGGGGCCAGGGCCAUGUGGUGGCAGGCAGAGACGGCAGUGACCUAUUUACAAGCCAAGGGCUUUCAGGAAGAGCCGGCGGCCAUCAGAAGCCAUGAAACAAGGAAGGGGGUCCACCUAGGGACAGAUGGGUCCAUCUCACUCACUAUUUUAAAGGUUUAUUGACCAGGCUUCUGGGUUUUAAUAAAACAGGAUUUCAUAAACUGUUAAUUUAGAAUAGUAAGUAGAAAAUAGUAAAAAUAGAUUUCUACUAGAGAAAACUUCUGAGUCUGCAAAUAAUGUUUUGAAAAGAGGGAGAGAUUGAUGGGGGUUGUGGGGGGGAGAGAGAGAGAGAGAGAGAGAGAGAGAGAGAGAGAGAGAGAAACUCUGCAAGGACAGGUGGCCUUGAUGGUCAAGACUAGUUCUCUAAUGGACUGGGCUGGGCUCGGGGACUCCAUUUGCCUGAAGCCAUGACCUCUGUCUCUAAGCCAGCCAGUGGAGACUGUGGUCAUUCUGACAGGUCUAAGGAUGCAGGCCCAAGUUUAGGUCCUCCGUGCGCAGUGUGGAAGUGGGCAGCUUGGCCAAGCUGCAGGGAUGGUGAGGGCACUGAUCAAAUUGGGAAGGGAGGUGGUCACCCUUCAGAUUCUGGGAAACCAAC
rnacentral:lncRNA from 1 species